UACGUAGGUGGCAAGCGUUAUCCGGAUUUAUUGGGUUUAAAGGGAGCGUAGGCGGUUUUGUAAGUCAGUGGUGAAAGACGGUCGCUCAACGAUCACAUUGCCAUUGAUACUGCAAAGCUAGAGUACAGUAGAGGUGGGCGGAAUUUAUGGUGUAGCGGUGAAAUGCAUAGAUACCAUAAAGAACACCGAUUGCGUAGGCAGCUCACUGGACUGUAACUGACGCUGAGGCUCGAAAGUGUGGGUAUCAAACAG
rnacentral:rRNA from 1 species